CAGAACCCCAGAAACGUCUAAUGACCGGUCUCGCUGAGACAUCCUGUAUAUAGUAACUCAUGCUGCCAACAAGUUGGCAGUGUAUAAACGAAGUUGUAAGCUUUCAGAACAGAAAAUGUUGGAUGUAAUAAUUCAUGCUGCCAACAAGUUGGCAGACUCUGCUUUAUAAAACAGAAGCUCUGGGAUGUAACAGCUCAUACUGCUAACAAGUUGACAGACUCUGCGUUAUAGAAUAGAAUCGCUGAAAUACAAUAGCUCAUACUGCCAACAAGUUAGCAGUCUGUAAGGAAUGUUGCAAGCUUCUAGAUGCAGUAACUCAUGCUGCCAACAAGUUGGCAGCCUAUAAACGAAGUUGUAAGCUUUCAGAUGUAGUAGCUCAUGCUGCCAACAAGUUGGCAGCUUAUAAGGGAUGUUGUAGGCUUCCAGAUAUAUUAGCUCAUGCUGCCAACAAGUUGGCAGCCUUUUCGUUAUAGAACAGAAGCUCUGGGAUGUAAUAGCUUAUGCUGUUAACAAGUUGGCAGUUUAUUAACGAAAUUACAAGCUUCCAGAUGUAGUAGCUCAUGCUACCAACAAGUUGGUAGGCUUUUCGUUAUAAAACAGAAGCUCUGGGAUGUAACAGCUCAUGCUGCCAACAAGUUGGCAGCCUAUUAACGAAAUAACAAACUUUCAGAUGUAGUAGCUCAUGCUGCCAACAAGUUGGCAGCUUAAAAGGGAUGUUGUAGGCUUCCAGAUAUAUUAGCUUAUGCUGCCAACAAGUUGACAGCCUUUUCGUUAUAGAACAGAAGCUCUGGGAUGUAAUAGCUCAUGCUGCCAACAAGUUGGCAGGCU